GCAGGGAGGGAGCUAGGUGCCGUUCCAGCGCCGAAAGAAUGAGAAAAAAUGAAGUACGCGGCACAUUGGCGUGGCUGUUGACUUGGUGGACGGCUCCGAAAUCCAUCCCAUCCGUUCCUAUAGUUCGAUUUUCUUUAUCUGUGUGUUUUUACUAAGAAUUUUCUAUUUUAUCGUCUUCUUCUUGAUUUGUCCACUGAAGGGAGACGAGACGAGACAAGGGGUGGCGGAGGAGGGGGCAGCCGAGAGAGGCAUUGUUUGCGUUGGCGGAGGGAGGGGUAGGAAGGGAAAGCAGGAAGGAAGACAAGCCUCACUUUCCUCGGUCCCCUCCUCGAAGCUCCGAGCUGCACCACCACCACCACUAUCAGGUUGGCUGGAUGGGUGAUAGGAUCUCGUAGUGAUCGUCACGAGCAUAUGGUCCCCACAAGUUUCCCUUCCAGAUGACCAGAAUCCCAUCUGGCUGUGUGAACAUGUCUACCGAUAAAACGGAUGCGAUAACCUCUUGACGAUCUAUUGUUUGAGGUGGAGUAGUGCUUUUGGUGUAGG
rnacentral:lncRNA from 1 species